rnacentral:lncRNA from 1 species
AACUCAAACAGCAUGUUCUUCUUCUAGAACAUGGUCUAAUGCUCACCAUGUCCUCUGAGAAACAAACAGCCUUCCUAGACAAAAAGAACCUUCUUUUUCCCCCACCUGUGGUUGAGGAAGUUUCCCAUGACAAAGAACCACACCCCACUGAUCCAAGCUCAUCAAUUCCAGACCCUGGUUCAUCAACUCCUGUGACUCCUCAUGGCCCUUCCACAUCAGAUAAACGCAAGGCACCAGUUGACGAGGCUGCUGCAGAUGAUGAAGAAACUGAAGAGGAGGA